UACGUAGGGUGCGAGCGUUGUCCGGAAUUAUUGGGCGUAAAGAGCUCGUAGGCGGUGUGUCACGUCGGCCGUGAAAACCUGCAGCUUAACUGUGGGCGUGCGGUCGAUACGGGCAUCACUGGAGUUCGGCAGGGGAGACUGGAAUUCCUGGUGUAGCGGUGAAAUGCGCAGAUAUCAGGAGGAACACCGGUGGCGAAGGCGGGUCUCUGGGCCGAUACUGACGUGGAGGAAGCGAAAGCGUGGGGAGCAAACAGG
rnacentral:rRNA from 1 species